UACGAACUGUGCAAACGUUAUUCGGAAUCACUGGGCUUAAAGGGUGCGUAGGCGGCUAUCUAAGCAGGGUGUGAAAGCCCCCGGCUCAACCGGGGAAUUGCGUUCUGAACUGGAUGGCUGGAGUGAGAUAGGGGUGUGUGGAACUUCCAGUGGAGCGGUGAAAUGUGUUGAUAUUGGAAGGAACGCCGGUGGCGAAAGCGACACACUGGGUCUCAACUGACGCUGAGGCACGAAAGCCAGGGGAGCAAACAGG
rnacentral:rRNA from 1 species